rnacentral:rRNA from 1 species
UACGGAAGGUCCUGGCGUUAUCCGGAUUUAUUGGGUUUAAAGGGAGCGUAGGCCGUGGAUUAAGCGUGUUGUGAAAUGCAGGUGCUCAACGUCUGCACUGCAGCGCGAACUGGUUCACUUGAGUGUGCGCAACGCAGGCGGAAUUCGUCGUGUAGCGGUGAAAUGCUUAGAUAUGACGAAGAACUCCGAUUGCGAAGGCAGCUUGCGGGAGCACAACUGACGCUGAAGCUCGAAAGUGCGGGUAUCGAACAGG